rnacentral:tRNA from 1 species
UCUUCCGUAGUAUAGUGGUCAGUAUUCAAGCUUGUCACGCUUGAGACCCGGGUUCAAUUCCCGGCGGGAGAG